AGUGAACGCUGGCGGUAGGCCUAACACAUGCAAGUCGAACGGCAGCACAGUAAGAGCUUGCUCUUACGGGUGGCGAGUGGCGGACGGGUGAGGAAUACAUCGGAAUCUACUUUUUCGCGGGGGAUAACGUAGGGAAACUUACGCUAAUACCGCAUACGACCUACGGGUGAAAGCAGGGGAUCUUCGGACCUUGCGCGAUUGAAUGAGCCGAUGUCGGAUUAGCUAGUUGGCGGGGUAAAGGCCCACCAAGGCGACGAUCCGUAGCUGGUCUGAGAGGAUGAUCAGCCACACUGGAACUGAGACACGGUCCAGACUCCUACGGGAGGCAGCAGUGGGGAAUAUUGGACAAUGGGCGCAAGCCUGAUCCAGCCAUACCGCGUGGAUGAAGAAGGCCUUCGGGUUGUAAAGCCCUUUUGUUGGGAAAGAAAAGCAGCAGGUUAAUACCCCGCUGUUCUGACGGUACCCAAAGAAUAAGCACCGGCUAACUUCGUG
rnacentral:rRNA from 1 species